GGGUCGUUAGCUCAGUUGGUAGAGCAGUUGGCUCUUAAUCAAGAGGUCGCAGGUUCGAACCCUGCACGACCCACCA
rnacentral:tRNA from 1 species